UACAGAGGGUGCAAGCGUUAAUCGGAAUUACUGGGCGUAAAGCGUGCGUAGGUGGUUUUUUAAGUCAGGUGUGAAAUCCCCGGGCUCAACCUGGGAACUGCAUUUGAUACUGAAGGGCUAGAGUGUGGUAGAGGAUAGUGGAAUUCCCGGUGUAGCGGUGAAAUGCGUAGAUAUCGGGAGGAACAUCAGUGGCGAAGGCGGCUAUCUGGACUAACACUGACACUGAGGCACGAAAGCGUGGGUAGCAAACAGG
rnacentral:rRNA from 1 species